UACGAAGGGGGCUAGCGUUGCUCGGAAUCACUGGGCGUAAAGCGCACGUAGGCGGAUUGUUAAGUCAGGGGUGAAAUCCUGGAGCUCAACUCCAGAACUGCCUUUGAUACUGGCGAUCUCGAGUCCGGGAGAGGUGAGUGGAACUCCGAGUGUAGAGGUGAAAUUCGUAGAUAUUCGGAAGAACACCAGUGGCGAAGGCGGCUCACUGGCCGGUACUGACGCUGAUGUGCGAAAGCGUGGGGAGCAAACAGG
rnacentral:rRNA from 1 species